rnacentral:rRNA from 1 species
UACAGAGGGUGCGAGCGUUAAUCGGAAUUACUGGGCGUAAAGCGCGCGUAGGCGGCUUUUCAAGUCGAUUGUGAAAUCCCCGGGCUUAACCUGGGAACUGCAGUCGAGACUGUCUAGCUAGAGUAUGGGAGAGGGAAGUGGAAUUUCAGGUGUAGCGGUGAAAUGCGUAGAUAUUGGGAGGAACACCAGUGGCGAAGGCGGCUCACUGGACCGGAACUGACGCUGAGGCGCGAAAGCGUGGGGAGCAAACAGG